AGAGUUUGAUCCUGGCUCAGGAUGAACGCUGGCGGCGUGCCUAAUACAUGCAAGUCGAACGCACAGCGAAAGGUGCUUGCACCUUUCAAGUGAGUGGCGAACGGGUGAGUAACACGUGGACAACCUGCCUCAAGGCUGGGGAUAACAUUUGGAAACAGAUGCUAAUACCGAAUAAAACUCAGUGUCGCAUGACACAAAGUUAAAAGGCGCUUUGGCGUCACCUAGAGAUGGAUCCGCGGUGCAUUAGUUAGUUGGUGGGGUAAAGGCCUACCAAGACAAUGAUGCAUAGCCGAGUUGAGAGACUGAUCGGCCACAUUGGGACUGAGACACGGCCCAAACUCCUACGGGAGGCUGCAGUAGGGAAUCUUCCACAAUGGGCGAAAGCCUGAUGGAGCAACGCCGCGUGUGUGAUGAAGGCUUUCGGGUCGUAAAGCACUGUUGUAUGGGAAGAACAGCUAGAAUAGGGAAUGAUUUUAGUUUGACGGUACCAUACCAGAAAGGGACGGCUAAAUACGUGCCAGCAGCCGCGGUAAUACGUAUGU
rnacentral:rRNA from 1 species